rnacentral:misc_RNA from 1 species
CCGAGUGUAGGGUUCCUAGCGAGCCCAACCUCCCACCCGUGUUUACUGUACCUUAGUUGCUUCGGCGGGCCCGCCGGAGACACCACGAACUCUGAACGAUCUAGUGAAGUCUGAGUUGAUUGUAUCGCAAUCAGUUA